UACGUAGGGGGCAAGCGUUGUUCGGAAUUACUGGGCGUAAAGGGCGCGUAGGCGGCACAACAAGUCGGGAGUGAAAGCCCGGGGCUCAACCCCGGAAUGUCUUUCGAAACUGUUGAGCUAGAGUGCAGAAGAGGCAACUGGAAUUCUCGGUGUAGCGGUGAAAUGCGUAGAUAUCGAGAGGAACACCUGCGGCGAAGGCGGGUUGCUGGGCUGACACUGACGCUGAGGCGCGAAAGCCAGGGGAGCGAACGGG
rnacentral:rRNA from 1 species